rnacentral:rRNA from 1 species
GCACAAGCGGUGGAGCAUGUGGAUUAAUUUGAUGCAACGCGAAGAACCUUACCUGGGUUUGACAUGCACAGGACGCCCGUAGAGAUAUGGGUUCCCUUGUGGCCUGUGUGCAGGUGGUGCAUGGCUGUCGUCAGCUCGUGUCGUGAGAUGUUGGGUUAAGUCCCGCAACGAGCGCAACCCUUGUCCUAUGUUGCCAGCGGGUUAUGCCGGGGACUCGUAGGAGACUGCCGGGGCCAACUCGGAGGAAGGUGGGGAUGACGUCAGGUCAUCAUGCCCCUUAUGUCCAGGGCUUCACACAUGCUACAAUGGCCGGUACAAAGGGCUGCGAUGCCGUGAGGUGGAGCGAAUCCUUGUAAAGCCGGUCUCAGUUCGGAUCGGGGUCUGCAACUCGACCCCGUGAAGUCGGAGUCGCUAGUAAUCGCAGAUCAGCAACGCUGCGGUGAAUACGUUCCC